rnacentral:rRNA from 1 species
GUCUAAUACCGGAUAUGACCUUGGAGUGCAUGCUCUGGGGUGGAAAGCUUUUGCGGUUCAGGAUGGGCCCGCGGCCUAUCAGCUUGUUGGUGGGGUAAUGGCCUACCAAGGCGACGACGGGUAGCCGACCUGAGAGGGUGAUCGGCCACACUGGGACUGAGACACGGCCCAGACUCCUACGGGAGGCAGCAGUGGGGAAUAUUGCACAAUGGGCGCAAGCCUGAUGCAGCGACGCCGCGUGAGGGAUGACGGCCUUCGGGUUGUAAACCUCUUUCACCAGGGACGAAGCGCAAGUGACGGUACCUGGAGAAGAAGCACCGGCCAACUACGUGCCAGCAGCCGCGGUAAUACGUAGGGUGCGAGCGUUGUCCGGAAUUACUGGGCGUAAAGAGCUCGUAGGCGGUUUGUCGCGUCGUCUGUGAAAUUCUGCAACUCAAUUGUAGGCGUGCAGGCGAUACGGGCAGACUUGAGUACUACAGGGGAGACUGGAAUUCCUGGUGUAGCGGUGAAAUGCGCAGAUAUCAGGAGGAACACCGGUGGCGAAGGCGGGUCUCUGGGUAGUAACUGACGCUGAGGAGCGAAAGCGUGGGUAGCGAACAGGAUUAGAUACCCUGGUAGUCCGCGCCGUAAACGGUGGGUUCUUUAGGUGGGGGGGCUCAUUUCACGAGUUCCGUGCCGUAGCUAACGCAUUAAGUACCCGCCUGGGGGAGUACGGCCGCAAGGCUAAACUCAAGGAAUUGACGGGGGCCCGCACAAGCGGCGGAGCAUGGGGAUUAAUUCGAUGCAACGCGAGACCUUACCUGGGUUUGACAUA